UAAUUAAUGACAUCAUUUUUAGUCAUGAAAAAUUACCAUGUAGCUAGCAAGAGAGUCUUUUUUGCUUUCCUUUGUCAACAAGCCUUGGAGGACCAGGACUGGCACUUUACAGGUUGUAUGGAGCUUUACAGAAACUUGAUAAAAGAGGAGAGGAUUUAUCAAGGAUUGAGAAACGAACAAAAAAGCUUGCCACUGGUGCUGCUGAAUUUGCUUCUAUUGCUGAGAUGUAUCGAAAGAAAA